rnacentral:tRNA from 1 species
UCUAAUAUGGCAGAAUAGUGCUAUGAAUUUAAACUUCAUGUAUAAAGAUUAACUUUUUUUAGAA